rnacentral:rRNA from 1 species
UACGUAGGGUGCGAGCGUUGUCCGGAAUUAUUGGGCGUAAAGGGCUCGUAGGCGGUUUGUCGCGUCGGGAGUGAAAUCCACUGGCUUAACUGGUGGCUUGCUUUCGAUACGGGCAGACUGGAGGUAUGCAGGGGAGAAUGGAAUUCCUGGUGUAGCGGUGAAAUGCGCAGAUAUCAGGAAGAACACCCGUGGCGAAGGCGGUUCUCUGGGACGGUACUGACGCUGAGACGCGAAAGCGUGGGGAGCGAACAGG